GAUGAACGCCGGCGGUGUGCCUAAUACAUGCAAGUCGAGCGCACUGGCCCAACAGAAAUGACGUGCUUGCACUGAUUUGACGUUGGAUUCCCAGUGAGCGGCGGACGGGUGAGUAACACGUGGGCAACCUGCCCCAAAGCGGGGGAUAACAUUUGGAAACAGGUGCUAAUACCGCAUAACUUGGAAAACCACAUGGUUUUCCAAUAAAAGAUGGUUUCGGCUAUCACUUUGGGAUGGGCCCGCGGUGCAUUAGCUAGUUGGUAAGGUAACGGCUUACCAAGGCGAUGAUGCAUAGCCGAGUUGAGAGACUGAUCGGCCACAAUGGAACUGAGACACGGUCCAUACUCCUACGGGAGGCAGCAGUAGGGAAUCUUCCACAAUGGGCGCAAGCCUGAUGGAGCAACACCGCGUGAGUGAAGAAGGGUUUCGGCUCGUAAAACUCUGUUGUUGGAGAAGAACGUGCGUAAGAGUAACUGUUUACGCAGUGACGGUAUCCAACCAGAAAGUCACGGCUAACUACGUGCCAGCAGCCGCGGUAAUACGUAGGUGGCAAGCGUUAUCCGGAUUUAUUGGGCGUAAAGCGAGCGCAGGCGGUUGCUUAGGUCUGAUGUGAAAGCCUUCGGCUUAACCGAAGAAGUGCAUCGGAAACCGGGCGACUUGAGUGCAGAAGAGGACAGUGGAACUCCAUGUGUAGCGGUGGAAUGCGUAGAUAUAUGGAAGAACACCAGUGGCGAAGGCGGCUGUCUGGUCUGCAACUGACGCUGAGGCUCGAAAGCAUGGGUAGCGAACAGG
rnacentral:rRNA from 1 species